AACUUAUCCAGAGUGGUGGAGGGACUGACCCUACGAAGCCCGGCAACCGUUUUGCAAUGCCAUGCAAAAAAAGGUGCUACUUUCAGCAGAAUGAGAUUCAUUCUGAAAGAUAAGUG
rnacentral:ncRNA from 2 species